UGAAUACGAGACGCUAAGGCGUCGAAGUAGUGUAUGUCAUACUUCCAAGAAAAGCUUGCACUGUCAUAGAUAAAAAACGCCUGUACCAUAACCGACACAGGUGGGUAGGUAGAGUAUACUAAGGGGCGCGAGAUAACUCUCUCUAAGGAACUCGGCAAAAUAACUCCGUAACUUCGGGAGAAGGAGUGCCUUAUUCGUAAGGCUGCAAUAACAAGAUCCAAGCAACUGUUUAUCAAAAACACAGGUCUCCGCUAAGUCGUAAGACGAUGUAUGGGGGCUGACGCCUGCCCAGUGCCAGAAGGUUAAAGAAGUUGGUUAGCAAUUGCGAAGCUGAUAACUGAAGCCCUGGUGAACGGCGGCCGUAACUAUAACGGUCCUAAGGUAGCGAAAUUCCUUGUCGGGUAAGUUCCGACCCGCACGAAAGGCGUAAUGAUUUGGAUACUGUCUCGGAGAGGGGCUCGGUGAAAUAGACUUGUCUGUGAAGAUGCGGACUACCUGCACCAGGACAGAAAGACCCUAUGAAGCUUUACUGUAACUUGAAAUUGAAAUUGGACUUUAUUCGCGCAGUAUAGGUGGGAGGCGUUGAUUAUAAUCUUGUGGGAUUAUUGGAGCCAUCAGUGAGAUACCACUCUUGUAAUGUUAGAUUUCUAACUUUGAAUCAUUAUCUGGUCAAAGAACAGUUUCAGGCGGGCAGUUUGACUGGGGCGGUCGCCUCCUAAACGGUAACGGAGGCGUACAAAGGUUUCCUCUGAACGGUUAGAAAUCGUAUCUAGAGUGUAAAGGCAUAAGGAAGCUUGACUGUGAGACCUACAAGUCGAGCAGGGACGAAAGUCGGUCUUAGUGAUCUGACGGUACUGAGUGGAAAGGCCGUCACUCAACGGAUAAAAGUUACUCUAGGAUAACAGGCUGAUCUCCCCCAAGAGUUCACAUCGACGGGGAGGUUUGGCACCUCGAUGUCGGCUCAUCGCAUCCUGGGGCGGUAGUACGUCCCAAGGGUUGGGCUGUUCGCCCAUGAAAGCGGUACGCGAGCUGGGUUCAGAACGUCGUGAGACAGUUCGGUCCAUAUCCGGUGUAGGCGUUAGAAUAUUGAGAGGAGCCUUCUUUAGUACGAGAGGACCGAGAAGGACAUACCUCUGGUGUACCAGUUAUCGUGCCAACGGUAAACGCUGGGUAGCUAUGUAUGGAGUGGAUAACCGCUGAAAGCAUCUAAGUGGGAAGCCCACCUCAUGAUAAG
rnacentral:rRNA from 1 species